GACGAACGCUGGCGGCGUGCUUAACACAUGCAAGUCGAACGGAAAGGCCUGCAGCUUGCUGCGGGUACUCGAGUGGCGAACGGGUGAGUAACACGUGGGUGAUCUGCCUUGCACUUCGGGAUAAGCUUGGGAAACUGGGUCUAAUACCGGAUAGGACAGCUGUUUAGUGUCAGUUGUGGAAAGUUUUUUCGGUGCAAGAUGAGCUCGCGGCCUAUCAGCUUGUUGGUGGGGUAAUGGCCUACCAAGGCGUCGACGGGUAGCCGGCCUGAGAGGGUGUACGGCCACAUUGGGACUGAGAUACGGCCCAGACUCCUACGGGAGGCAGCAGUGGGGAAUAUUGCACAAUGGGCGGAAGCCUGAUGCAGCGACGCCGCGUGGGGGAUGAAGGCCUUCGGGUUGUAGACUCCUUUCGACAGGGACGAAGCUUUUGUGACGGUACCUGUAUAAGAAGCACCGGCUAACUACGUG
rnacentral:rRNA from 1 species